rnacentral:rRNA from 1 species
CUAGAGAUUGAAAGAGGAUAGAGGAAUUCCUAGUGUAGAGGUGAAAUUCGUAAAUAUUAGGAGGAACACCAGUGGCGAAGGCGUCUAUCUGGUUCAAAUCUGACGCUGAGGCGCGAAGGCGUGGGGAGCAAACAGGAUUAGAUACCCUGGUAGUCCACGCUGUAAACGAUGAAUGUUAAAUAUGGGAAGUUUACUUUCUGUAUUANAGNUAACGCGUUAAACAUUCCGCCUGGGGACUACGGUCGCAAGAUUAAAACUCAAAGGAAUUGACGGGGACCCGCACAAGCGGUGGAGCAUGUGGUUUAAUUCGAUGCAACGCGAAAAACCUUACCACUCCUUGACAUGGAAAUUAUACCUAUUCGAAGGGAUAGG